rnacentral:rRNA from 1 species
UUUGAAAUCUGGCUCUCGGGCCCGAGUUGUAAUUUGUAGAGGAUGCUUUUGGUGAGGUGCCUUCCGAGUUCCCUGGAACGGGACGCCAUAGAGGGUGAGAGCCCCGUCUGGUUGGACACCGAUCCUCUGUAAAGCUCCUUCGACGAGUCGAGUAGUUUGGGAAUGCUGCUCUAAAUGGGAGGUAUAUGUCUUCUAAAGCUAAAUACCGGCCAGAGACCGAUAGCGCACAAGUAGAGUGAUCGAAAGAUGAAAAGAACUUUGAAAAGAGAGUUAAAAAGUACGUGAAAUUGUUGAAAGGGAAGCGCUUGUGACCAGACUUGGGCUUGGUUGAUCAUCCGGGGUUCUCCCCGGUGCACUCUUCCGGCUCAGGCCAGCAUCAGUUCGCCCUGGGGGAUAAAGGCUUCGGGAAUGUGGCUCUCUCCGGGGAGUGUUAU